GCGCUUGCCUGAAUCUUCGGGCCAUCCCGCAGUAAUGCGGGAUUGCAAAUCGGGUGAAAUCGGAGAAACUUCCGCCAUAAACGGAACAACCCCGAGCCAAGCCGAAGCACAUAACGUCUUAUGUGCUCGGAAGGUGUAGAGACUAUCCCUUUAAGGGAGUACUCCAUUAGAUGAAUGCAGAUUUAUUAAAUGGGGGAAGCGCCCGACAUCCGCCCUAGGCGGAUGAUGAUAUAGUCCAAGUUGCUCAGGAAGAGCAA
rnacentral:ncRNA from 1 species